AGUUGGGGAGCGCAGAUCCCGAAGCAGCGCUGGGAGCGUAAGUGCGGGCAGAGCACUGCGCCGUUUGGGAACGCAACUUUGAGGAGACAGUGCGGUGGAGAUGAGGUUUCACCAUGUUGGCCAGUCUGGUCUUGAACUCCUGACCUCAAGUGAUCCACCCACUUCGGCCUCUCAGAAGUGCUGGGAUUACAGGCAUGAGCCACCACGCCUGGCCAGACUUCAGUGAAGUUCCUUAUGACUUCCCCUGAAAUUGCUUCCUUAUCAUGGGGGCAAAUGAAAGUAAAAGGCUCUAAUACAACCUAUAAGGACUGCAAAGUAUGGCCAGGGGGUAGUCGGACUUGGGAUUGGAGAGAAACAGGAACUGAGCAUUCUCCUGGUGUGCAGCCUGCAGAUGUGAAGGAAGUUGUUGAGAAGGGUGUACAGACUCUUGUGAUUGGCCGAGGGAUGAGUGAGGCCUUGAAGGGUCUUACUCUGCCACCCAGGCUGGAGUGCAGUGGCACGAUCAUAACUCACUGAAGCCUCAAACUCCUGGGCGCAAGUGAUCUUCCUGCCUCAGCCUCCUGAGGAGUGGGGAUUACAGGCACGUGCCACCACGCCAGGAGCUGGACUGAGCAUCAAACAUGUCUGUGAGCUGGCAAUGAGUCACCUAAGUACUUUUUUGUAUCAAAUCUAUGAUGCCAUCAUUCUUAAGAUGCACCUUUAUUUUAUGAAAUAGUAAGAAACAAAAAACACUAUGGGACACCAUCAAAAUAUCUGAUUUCAGAGAAGUUACAAUAAUAAAAAAUGUGUAUCUUGGAAUCAAUGAAAUGUGGCAAUUCCAGUUAUCUGAAAGUCUUACAGAUAUAAUUACACUGAGCUCUUAUUACGUAUCAAGUACCAUGCUAAGUGUUUUUACAUGUAUUAUCUCAUUUAUUCUUCAUAGAAAUGCCAUGAGGUAGAUGCUGUCUUCAUUUUCAUUUUGUACAGGGAAACAAGGUACAGAAAGGUUCAUAACCAAACAACUAGUAAGUAGAAAAGACAAGAUUUGAACAAAGUAGUCUGACUUCCCAGUACAUCCUCUUAAUUUAUCCUUAUUGCCUGAGAAAAAGCUUAUUAGUCCCUUCAGAACAGAAAAAGUGGUCCCUGGCACUAAAUUCUUAAGGAAAUCUAUCAAGUAGGAGGAUACAGAGUGUCCUUAUUGCCAGAUAAAGUCCAGUGUUGUGCUAUAUGUAAUGGAGAGUCACCAGAGGGUUUUUAGCAAGGGAGAGACACAAUUGGAUUUCCAAGGGUCUAAUCUGAUCCAACAACAGAAUUUGUAAUAUCUGAAAAAAAUGAAUAGAUCACACAUUCCUUAGCUAGUCUUUCCUAAAUUUCAUUUCACUUAUCAUUAACUUUCGUGUGAUGUCUGAAUGCAUUUGAAGUAUCUUUGAAAGGAACAUGCCACAUAUUUUGGCCAACCCCACAUCUUACCCUCGUGUAGUUCGUGCUGUUACUAUAAGUUGCAAAGCUUUGGCCUGCAGCCUCAUGUGAUGUAUAAUCACCACCUGCUUAUUCUCCACACCACUGUACAUGAAUUCCAUUUUGUAGGUCUCUUCCAUAAUCUAUAAAGGAAAGAUAAUUAACAAUCAAUAAAAAUAUCAUAGUCUUACUUGAGAGCAGCAUAGAAUUCUACUGUUAAAUGACCUUAGGUGAAACUCUUAACUGAGAUUUUACAUCCUUAUGCUUUUAAGUGUUGAAAGAAAUUAGUAUAGUAUGCCUUGUAAAAAGAGAAUAAAUUAUUUUGCCUACUUAAAAAGAAGACUGACCUGGUAAUAAAAUCAUCUUAGUUGAUGAUGUGAAGAUAAGAAAGUUUAAUCACUAAGCAAACUGCAAAGCACUGAAAGCACUGCUUCUUACCCUAAAUGAAGCCCACUCUGCUGUGGGAACAAAUUAAUAUAUAUUAUGUAUGGAAACCCAAUCCCCACAAAGUCCUCAAGAAUUAAGCAUCAGGAACUAUUAACCAUAUGUUAGUUAUCCUGACAGACUGUUCCAUGGGCCUGGUCUGAGGGAGUUUGGGACAGAAAUAAGUGCAAGAAAACAUUUGUCUAUGACCCCAGAUCAAGUCCCCGAUCUUGCUCGGUUCUAUCCAAAUAAGCGAUUUUCAUCAAAAUGAUGCUUCUCUUUUCCUUCUGUGCUUGCCUCCCAGUGAACACUCUAGGGUCACGGAAAUGACUCCAGACUCUCUUACAAUUGGCAAUAAGACAAGUUAAAUUACAUGAGUGUCUCAAUCCCUUUCUGUAAACAGGGAAGAAACAGUACCAAUAUCAUGAAGUUUCAAGUAUCAAAUGGAGCAUGCAAUGUGUUUAUCACAGUAUCUGGUAUACAGCAAUGGUAAUUCCUUUCCUCUUUUCCUUCCAAAUUAUUGCUCCCUGGUCCCAUCCUUCCAAUGUGGCUCAAUUAUCGGGUUCUAGUCAUUAAAUUCUACUCUUCUACAAUAAGCCACAUACCAGGUCUGAGAAAGAGUCUGGAUCAGACAAGAGUUCAGCACUGUAGUAGAAAACAGAUUCUGGGUAUCAGAGGAUCUGGUCUCAAGUCCUGACUGUAUUACCUAUAGCUCUAUGAAUUUAACCUUGCUGAGCCUUAACUGCCUCAUCUCUAAAACAGACUUAAUACUUAUUCCUAUCUAAUGGGAUUAUUAUGAGGGUUAAUUAAGCUAAUAGACUUGAAAUCAUUUAGUGAACUGUAAUGUAACAAUAACAGUCACCAUCAUUAGCUUCCUCCUGGGUCAUUUACAGACUCCCUAUCUGGAAGACUUGACCUGCAAGAGAUCACCAAGUCUCAAUACUCAGGUGCAAAGGGGAAUGACUCAAAGCUAAAAAGAAAUAAACUAGAGACAAAUAAAAUUAAAGCCUACUUAAUGAACUACCCAGGACCUUUUAACGUUGAAGAGAUGGUACAGGCUAAAGAUAUAAACAACCUUAACUGAGUUGGGCUACAUUUUCAGAUGAAAGAUUCAUGAUAGUAGAGACAGCGUUUCACCAUGUUGGCCAGGCCGGUCUCAAACUCCUAACCUUAAGUGAUGUGCCCAUCUCAGCCUCCCAAAGUGCUGGGAUUACAGGUGUGAGCCACCGCGCCCGGCCCAACUGCCACAUUUUAUAGAAGAGAAAAAAUCCAGGGAAUUUAAGUAACUUGCUCAAUAUCACUCAGCAAAUCAGAGGAAGACCUGGGACUAGGACCCAGGUCCCCUGAGUCCAAAGUGAGUGCUGUGUCUCCUAGUUAUGCUCCUUCUCAUAUCACUAACUUCUGUCAUAGCCUGAAAUUAGGGAGGCCACAGCAGAGGUAUAGAGCUACAGGAAGGCCUCUGGCUCCGCCUUGGACCAGACAAUUCCUGGACAGAGACCUAUUUGAAGGGAAGGUCUGAAUAAGCUUACCUGUGUUGCUGCUGCUGAGGCCAAAUCACUCUGCUUCAAAUACAAAGGGGCAGCUACAUGCCACAACUUUUCCUGCAAGGCCUACACAGACAGAGCUAUAGGAAGGCCUCUGGCUCUGUCUUGGACCAGACAAUUACUGGACAGAGACCUAUUUGAAGGGAAGGUCUGAAUAAGCUUACCUGUUUCGCUGCUGCUGAGGCCAAAUCACUCUGCUUCAAAUACAAAGGGGCAGCUACAUUCCACAACUUUUCCUGCAAGGCCUACGCAGACAAAUCAGGAGGGAACAGAAUACCGAGGUCACAAAGACUGGCCUAUCAUUUGGGAUUUACAUUUUUGUUUUCCUUUGAAAGUCUCCCAUGAACAUGACUUCUCAAUUGAUCUUAUUCUUUUAACCCAAUAAGCUGUAUCUAUUAUGGAGAAAGAUGAGACCAAUGGUUUGGGCUAAAUGAAUUCCCACCCAUUUGAUCCAAUUCUUGGCCCAAAGGCUCUGUGUCCCAGAUCAGUGCUUCUGGAAGCAGAGGACAGGAACCACGAAAGCUUCACCAGAAUGCGCAGGCAAGCCAGCUUCCGGGCUCUAGGCACUCCUUGUUCCCAGAGCUACUGGACUAACCCAAGCCACCUAGAUACUUCUUCCUUAACUGUGGUUCUUUUUUCUUUUCCCCUAUGCUCAUUAUGUUGUAAGCCCCAACCACUUUAUCAACAUAUUCAACUAGAAAUCAAGCAGCUUUCCUAGAUUUCUCCCUCUUUCAAUCUUUCUACAUUCAAAACCACCACUAAGAGCCAUGAUUUUACCUUCCAUCUCUCUCCUCACCUAUCCAUCCACAUGACCUCAUCCCUUGCACAAACUUCUGUGACAGCCUCUUAUUUUCUCAGUCCUUCUGAAUUACAGAUGUAAUCAAAUGACAUUACAGAAAACCUAGACUAACACUGUCCAAUAGAAAUAUAACAUGAGCUAUAUAUAAUUUUAAAUAUUCUCGUAGCCACGGUUUUUAAAUUACAAAGAUGUAAGUUAAUUUUAAGAUACAAAGACUAAGUUAAUUUUUUAAAAAAGUUUAUUUAACCCAGUAUAUCCAAGAUAUUAACAUUUCACCAUGCAGUAUUUUUUAAAUUAUUAAUUAGUUUACAUUUUCUCUUCAUACUAAGUCUGAGAAAUCCAGUGUGUAUUUUGCACUUAAUAACACAUCUCAGUUUGGACUAACAACUUUUUGAGUGCUCAAGAGUCCCAUGUAUCUGGUGGCUAUCAAAUUAAACAGUGGUAGGUCUAAACUGUAGAUAAAAACUAUAGGAAUUUCUGGAAUAUUUACUUCUAAUCAUUUCUUGUAUGCAUGUUUUUUGACAGUUGUAGUCAGAAAGCAGAAUUAAGUUUGGGGAUUAGAUCAUAAUCCCAAAACAUACAAUCCCAAAUGUUGAAAUCCUCACAUCCAAAUUCUGGGGAAGUGAUUAGCGUGUUUUGGGUUGUAUGCAGGAUAGUUGCAUCAUGUUAGUUGUAUCAUGUUAGGCACAACUAUUACCAUGUUAUUGUCUUUAUUUGGAAAUUAAAUAUGGCUUAAGGAGAUGCGUAUGAGUGCCAAGCUGACAAGGGGUGGACUUGUGGACCUAAUUUUAGAUAUCAGCUUGACUAGAUUAAGGAAUAUCAGAAACCUGGUAAAAGAUUAUUUUGUUUUACACAUUGAGGGUGUGUCUAUGAGAGUGUUUCCAGAAGAGAUUAGUGUAUAAAUCUGAGUGUACUAAGUGGAGACUAUCUGCCCUCAAUGUUGGCGGGCACCAUCCAAUCAGCCAGUGGCCAGGAGAGAACAAAUACUUAAGACGAAAUGGGCUGGGAGUGGUGGCUCAUGCCUGUAAUCCUAGCACUUUGGAAGGCCGAGGUGGGUGGAUGACCUGAGGUCAGGAGAUGGAGACCAGCCUGACCAACAUGGCAAAACCCUGUCUCUACUAAAAAUACAAAAAUUAGCCAGGCGUGGUGGUGCACACCUGUAAUCCCAGCUACUUGGGAGACUGAGACAGGAGAAUUGCUUGAACCCAAGAGGCAGAGGUUGCAGCAGUGAGCCGAGAUCACGCCACUGUAUUCAGCCUGGAUGAUAAGCUGAGACUCUGUCUCAAAAAAAAAAAAAAGGCAAUAUAGCAAAACGGACUCUCUGGGUUCUGCUGCUUGGAUAUCAGAAAUCUGACUCCAUGAAAGUGCAUCAUCACAAUACUGACUUUGUGUAUAAGCAUUGAGUGUGUACACAAAAUGUUGAAACUUCCUCGAUAAAUGAGAUAUCCUUUUCGUACAUCUGCAUUUGUGAAAGAUAAAAUUUCUUGAGAUCUCAGCUCUUUGGGUGACUGCAUAUGCAGUGGUGACCCAGCACAGUUUCCAUCAAUCUCGUCAAAAGACUUGAGGUUGUUGGGCACAGUAUUUCAGAUGACCACAGUUAAAAAGCUGGGUAUACACAAUUAACAACCAAAGUGAUAUGCAUUUAUACCUUUCCCUUUAUGACCAAUUUCUUUAUAAAUAUGGCUCAUCUGCUCAUAACUGUUAGACCCACCCAACUGUCAUUAGUAACCUGAGUGUUUAUGCUUGCAAAAAUGUAUGUUGUUAUUGUCUGUUUUAUUAUAUUAAGUGAUGUAUAAAGUAUUCUGUUGUGUUUUUAUGUUUCUCAAAUAAAUUCCCCUUUAAAAAAUAAA